CAGUAGCCGCGGUAAUACGGAGGGUGCAAGCGUUAUCCGGAUUCACUGGGUUUAAAGGGUGCGUAGGCGGGCAGGUAAGUCAGUGGUGAAAUCUUCGAGCUUAACUCGGAAACUGCCGUUGAUACUAUCUGUCUUGAAUAACGUUGAGGUGAGCGGAAUAUGUCAUGUAGCGGUGAAAUGCUUAGAUAUGACAUAGAACACCGAUUGCGAAGGCAGCUCACUAAACGCUCAUUGACGCUGAGGCACGAAAGCGUGGGGAUCAAACAGGAUUAGAUACCCCCGUAGUCCCUGUCUCUUAUAC
rnacentral:rRNA from 1 species